rnacentral:hammerhead_ribozyme from 1 species
AUCCAACUGACGAGUCCCAAAUGGGAUGAAAUACUCAUCCUGGAU